CGAAUUCGCCCUUUAGAGUUUGAUCCUGGUUCAGAGUUAACGCUGGCAUCGUGCAUAACACAUGCAAGUCGAACGGGACUUUGAUUUGUAGCAAUACAGAUUAAAGUUUAGUGGCAGACGGGUGAGUAAUGUAUAAGGAAUCCACCUUUAAGUGGGGAAUAACAGUCCGAAAGGGUUGCUAAUACCCCAUAAUAUCCUUAAGUGGCAUCACAUAGGGAUUAAAGAUUUAUCGCUUGAAGACGACCUUAUAUUCUAUCAGCUAGUUGGCAGUGUAACGGACUACCAAGGCGACGACGGAUAGCCGGCCUGAAAGGGCGACCGGCCACAAGGGCACUGAGACACGGGCCCUACUCCUACGGGAGGCAGCAGUGGGGAAUUUUGGACAAUGGGCGCAAGCCUGAUCCAGCAACGAUGCGUGGAGGAUGAAGGUUUUCGGAUUGUAAACUCCUUUUAAGGGGGACGAAACAAAUGACGGUACCCCUUGAAUAAGCCACGGCUAACUACGUGCCAGCAGCCGCGGUAAGACGUAGGUGGCAAGCGUUACUCGGAAUUACUAGGCGUAAAGCGCGCGUAGGCGGGAUGUUAAGUCUGUUGUGUAAUCUCUGGGCUCAACCCAGAAACUGCAACGGAAACUGGCGUUCUUGAGUGAGGCAGAGGAAAUCGGAAUUCCUAGUGUAGCAGUGAAAUGCGUAGAUAUUAGGAGGAACACCGGUGGCGAAGGCGGAUUUCUGGGCCUUUACUGACGCUAAAGUGCGAAAGCUAGGGGAGCAAACGGGAUUAGAUACCCCGGUAGUCCUAGCCGUAAACGAUGAUAACUAGGUGUGGGAGGUAUCGACCCCUUCCGUGCCGCCGCUAACGCAUUAAGUUAUCCGCCUGGGGAGUACGGCCGCAAGGUUAAAACUCAAAGGAAUUGACGGGGACCCGCACAAGAGGUGGAGUAUGUGGUUUAAUUCGACGCUACGCGAAGAACCUUACCAAGUCUUGACAUCCUUCUGACCGAUACUUAAUCGUAUCUUCUCUUCGGAGCAGGAGUGACAGGUGGUGCAUGGUUGUCGUCAGCUCGUGUCGUGAGAUGUUGGGUUAAGUCCCGCAACGAGCGCAACCCUUAUCCUUAGUAGCCAGCAUUUAAGGUGGGCACUCUAGGGAGACUGCCAGGGAUAACCUGGAGGAAGGUGGGGAUGACGUCAAAUCAUCAUGCCCCUUAUGACUUGGGCUACACACGUGCUACAAUGGCGUAAACAAAGGGAAGCGAAACCGUGAGGUCAAGCAAAUCUCAAAAAUAACGUCUCAGUUCGGACUGUAGUCUGCAACCCGACUACACGAAGCUGGAAUCGCUAGUAAUCGCAGAUCAGAAUGCUGCGGUGAAUACGUUCCCGGGU
rnacentral:rRNA from 1 species